CCCUCUGGGAUACGUAGUUCUUCUCUUUUGUCCAUGAUGUUAUGUGGAAUACCGAUAGCAAAGUUACAAAACCAUGACAAAGACCCUGAAUUUUUGGAGAGUAUACUUCUAGUUUUAGGAAUUAGUGUAUACUUUGAAUACUGUCCUCAGGAAUAAAGGACCACAAGAGAGUUGGCCUCUGUUUAAGGAUGUUUUUCUUAGAGUGCAAGAGUUGUUAUUUCAACAGUGUAAGAUAUGAGGCAAGUCUGGAGACUAGUAUGUCUGAGUAAGGAAUUCCUGGUCAAACUAAACUGUAAGAAAGAAAAUGCGUAGUCAGUUCAAAAUGUUUCUUCGGAAGAAUAUACAAAUGUGUAGCAAAAGGAUCAGAAAAAAACUAAGGCACAAUUGGAACUGAAUUUGGAAAGGAAUGUGAAGAAUGAUAAGAUGGAGUUCUAUAGGUAAAUUGUUCAGAAAAGGAUGACUAAAGAAAACAUAUUCCCUUGAUAAAUAAGGUAGAAGAACUAGUGAUGACUGAGUUGGAAAGUCUGAGGCACUUUUUAAUUUUUUUUCCCCCCUUAAUUUUCACUGGUUAUCAUUCUUCGCACAUCUUUCAAGUCCUUGAACCCCAAGGACUGAGGGAACAAAGUCCCUUACACUGUAAGAAAAGAUCACACCAAAGACUACCUGAAUUAUCUAGUGGCUUCUUGUGAUGGAGUAGCUGCAACAGUGGGCAAGGGAAGAGCAAUUGAUGCAAUCUCCCUGUAAUUUUGUAAGACCUUUGAUAGGAUCUUCCACAACAUUCUUGCCAUCAAAUUGGAGGGAUAUAGAUUUGAUGGAUGGGAUGUUAAAUAGAUGAAGUAUUGACUGAAUGGCCACCUUGAAAGAGCUAGAACCAGUGACUCAGUGUCCAAAUGGAAAACAGUAAUGAGUGGUGCCUCUCAAGGGUCUGUACUGUGAUCAAUGCUACUUAAUUGCUCCAUCAGUGACGCAGUUAGGGAGAUUUGAGUGCAUCUUCAGCAAGUUUGUGAUGACAGCAAAUUGAGUGGAGCUCAAUUUGUACUAUUUGGACGUACUAUUUGGAAUGGAUGCCAUCCAGAAAGGACCUUAAAAGUCUUAAGAAUCCUUACUCUAAAAUUAGAUUAGGUUGUUCAUGGUUUUGACAAAAUAUGCUUCCAAGGAUGGAAAUUUCUCAGCAUUCUUAGGAAAUCUGUUACAGUACUUGAGCACACUCACUGUGAUUUAUUUUUUUUCCAUUUAUAUUCACUAAAGACUUUUGAAAAAUAUUUCCCAUCUUUUAUCUCUUCGACUCCCUUUAAAGUAGUGGAAGACUGGAAUGGGCUUCACUCAUUGUUCUUCUCUUUCCCAGGUAGAAUAAAUUUAAUUCUGAGGCCUUUCUUUAUAAGAUAUAUUCAGUGUUCCUCAGUCACUUCAGUGAACAUUUCUUAUUUCAGAUUUUCAAUAUUUCUCAUUGUCUCACUCCAAUACUCAUGUACUGGGGUCAAACACUACACAUGUGACCUCAAGAACAUUGACUGGAAGGGAGUAACAAUUUCUCAUGAACUGCCUACUAAAAAUUCUCCAAGUGCAGACCAAUUUCUCUGUCACAUUCAUAUACUGUUGAUUCAAGUCCAGAUUCCUACUUGCUGUUCAUGAGGAUCCCUGCUUUUUCUUGCAAAGCUUCUCCUAGGUUUCUCAUCUCAUAUGCAGGUCUUUAUAUUUGUCACAAUUAAAUUACAUGAGAUUUCUAUUAUCCCAUUUAUCUACCCUUUAAAAUUCUCUCUGAAUGCCUUCCAGAAAGGUAUGAUAUUAACAAACCAUGCAGACAUUCAAGGAAAAUAAUUGUUACAAAUAUUGAAAUAAGAAAAUGCAGCAAAGUUGUUACUUGCUUUUGAAUAUAAUUCACUAUGGUAUUCCAUAGCAGUCACUUUCAACAAAUCU
ensembl:lncRNA